rnacentral:tRNA from 1 species
GGAGAUUUAGCUCAGCGGUAGAGCGCUUGCCUAGCAAGCUCAAGGCCCUGGGUUCGGUCCCCAGCUCCA